rnacentral:rRNA from 1 species
ACGCUGGCGGCGUGCCUAAUACAUGCAAGUAGAACGCUGAAGAGAGGAGCUUGCUCUUCUUGGAUGAGUUGCGAACGGGUGAGUAACGCGUAGGUAACCUGCCUUGUAGCGGGGGAUAACUAUUGGAAACGAUAGCUAAUACCGCAUAACAAUGGAUGACACAUGUCAUUUAUUUGAAAGGGGCAAUUGCUCCACUACAAGAUGGACCUGCGUUGUAUUAGCUAGUAGGUGAGGUAACGGCUCACCUAGGCGACAAUACAUAGCCGACCUGAGAGGGUGAUCGGCCACACUGGGACUGAGACACGGCCCAGACUCCUACGGGAGGCAGCAGUAGGGAAUCUUCGGCAAUGGGGGCAACCCUGACCGAGCAACGCCGCGUGAGUGAAGAAGGUUUUCGGAUCGUAAAGCUCUGUUGUAAGUCAAGAACGAGUGUGAGAGUGGAAAGUUCACACUGUGACGGUGGCUUACCAGAAAGGGACGGCUAACUACGUGCCAGCAGCCGCGGUAAUACGUAGGUCCCGAGCGUUGUCCGGAUUUAUUGGGCGUAAAGCGAGCGCAGGCGGUUUGAUAAGUCUGAAGUUAAAGGCUGUGGCUCAACCAUAGUUCGCUUUGGAAACUGUCAAACUUGAGUGCAGAAGGGGAGAGUGGAAUUCCAUGUGUAGCGGUGAAAUGCGUAGAUAUAUGGAGGAACACCGGUGGCGAAAGCGGCUCUCUGGUCUGUAACUGACGCUGAGGCUCGAAAGCGUGGGGAGCGAACAGGAUUAGAUACCCUGGUAGUCCACGCCGUAAACGAUGAGUGCUAGGUGUUGGAUCCUUUCCGGGAUUCAGUGCCGCAGCUAACGCAUUAAGCACUCCGCCUGGGGAGUACGACCGCAAGGUUGAAACUCAAAGGAAUUGACGGGGGCCCGCACAAGCGGUGG